CUUGGCCAACCCAGUUCAUCUUCACCUCCAUCUAAAAGCUGUGAAAUCAUAAUUGAAGCAGUCUCAUCAUCGGCCUUCCAAGGUUCAAUCAACUCCAAAAUAGCCAAAGAAUCCACUCUACUUUCCACACAAAGCCAGCGAAUCUCAUUAGUCACUUCCACGGUCUUGGAAGUAGUCUCAAACUUGAGGAUCUGAUUUUUCAGGAAAUCAGCCCUCGUUUCAACUUCAGGGUUCAUACCAACGUCUUCCUGACUACCAACCACAUCUUCUCGCAUUACGUCAUCCCCAUACUCUUGUUUCUCCUUUUCAGCAUCGUUUUCCGAAUCUUCAUCAUCUUCACAAUUACCAAAUGGCUUUCUCAAAUUGACCUCAUCAGGUAAUAUCGGAAGCCAAGGAAGUAGUACAGAAUUACGAUUCUUUGCAGCAUCUUUAAGCCAAUCUGGCAUUGCCCUAAACUCAUCCUCGGCCUUCCAAGGUUCAAUCAACUCCAAAAUAGCCAAAGAAUCCACUCUACUUUCCACACAAAGCCAGCGAAUCUCAUUAGUCACUUCCACGGUCUUGGAAGUAGUCUCAAACUUGAGGAUCUGAUUUUUCAGGAAAUCAGCCCUCGUUUCAACUUCAGGGUUCAUACCAACGUCUUCCUGACUACCAACCACAUCUUCUCGCAUUACGUCAUCCCCAUACUCUUGUUUCUCCUUUUCAGCAUCGUUUUCCGAAU
rnacentral:lncRNA from 1 species